ACCCGGUAUAUAACUGUGUGAAAAUUACUGUGAGGUAUUGCCUGACGUGCAUAUCUGACAAUGACAUGGACCAUGCUUAAUGUGUUGCAGCCCCUACGAGCGAGACAAAUCUGAAAGAAUAUAAUCCAAGCAUCGUAACCGUAGCUGCAAAUGUUGACCCAAUUUACACGACGGAAACAGAUGGAUCAGAAUGGGUAAGGCCUGGAUACCAUGCUGAUGGUCAAACAUUUGCGGCUACGGCUAAUCUAACACUCGAUCAUGCUAUUCAUAAGAUGCAGCUACGAGAUGAUACUGAAGGUAUCGAUAGGCAUGAUAUCCACCUUCCCAGCCGGCAUAUUCGGUUGUGGUUCAGUGUGUUUUAUUUGUUUUUUGAUUUGUACUUAUAACAUGAUGCAGACGACACAGCUUCCGAACAGCUUGAAACUGUUUCUCUAAAUAAUGAAUGCAAAAAAUACGCUGAGGAAGCAAGGGAGCAGUACAAUGCAAGGAAGUGUGCAGCUUAUCGGAAGAAAAAAAAUGAGGAUAUUGUCAGCUUACAAGAUGAGAAUCAGCCGGUACUUGCAAAAUCUGAUCAUAGGGAUCUUAUCAACGCUCGUAGGCGGGCGGCUUAUCGCAAUAACAAGUCAGAUGGUUUGGAUAACCAACAAGUCAAUGGGAAGUCAUCCCGUCGCCAAUCUCUAUGUGAUAUCACAAAUGUUCUCGAAGAUAGGGAGAUAAAUAAACCCACACGAUAUUAUCAUGGUUGGUAAAUUGAUCCACGUCCCGUAUGUGUUGUGUUUGCACGAAGGUAGUCACUUAUUACGCACUUUAAAUAAGUACUGACCAAGCUUGUUGAAUCAUAUAAUUCAGCUAGCUCAGACUAUACAUCAGUCUCGCCUAAUGAUGCAACAUACCCUCAUGAAGCUACGGUCACAUCGGGUGUCCUUUGUGUGAGAGAUAAAGAAGGUAAUAUUAUCUCACCAUCCACAUGGUCAUUAGAUGUCAAGUUGUGUUUUCUCAUUUAGCUUUAGAGAUAAUGACAUGAAUGUCAUGAUUAUGUGACGUUAAUGACACCAAAGAAAAUACGAAUGACAGAAUAUUUUUGCAAAAUAGACCAAAGAAACGCCCUGGAAAGGGCUUCCUGUCGGCGGAAAAAACAACCUAAUGUCCGAGAUGAAAAUGCACAUGCCCUUCAUUCAUCAGGCAAGCUUAAAGUGUUUUAACCAUGAUAGUCGGUACCGUCAAAACCAUUAAGCUGACAUAUGUUUGGACAACUUUGGUUCACAAGACAACCCAACUAGCUCUAACUAUACAACAUUCUCGCAUGAUGCGUCAACAUUUCCUGCUACAACUACGGUCACAUCUGGUCUCAUUAAUGAAAAUGAAAUACAAGGUAAUCAUAUUUUGCCUACUCAUUCAACAAUGGCUGGCAUGUUUCUGUUAUAUUCUCUAAUUUUAGGGUUUGCCCUGAUUGACACCAGAUGCAAAUGUAAUCCUGUAUGACACCCAAGAAACAGAGCAUAAAACGGAAGAAGAACGCAAGAGAGGCCAUAGAAACACACUGAGAAGGGCUUCAUAUCGGCGGAAAAAACAACCUAAUGUCCGAGAUGAAAAUGCACGGACCCUUCUUUUAUCAGACAACCCAACCAGCUCUAAAACAUUUCCUGGUUCAAAUACGGUCUCAUCUGGACUCAUCUAUGACAACGAGCUUCAAGAAACAGAGCAAAAAAUGGAAGAAGAACGCAAGAGAGACCAUAGAAACGCCCUGAGGAGGGCUUCCUAUCGGCGGAAGAAACAAUAUAAUGUCCAAGUUGAACAUGCACAGACCCUUCAUUUAUCAGGUGAGCUUAUAAUGAUUUAACCAUUAUGGUCAGAACCGUCUUAAUAAUUAAGCAUUAAUAUGUCUGGACAACUUUGGUUCACCAGGCAACCCCACUAGCUCUAACUAUACAUCAUUCUCGCAUGAUGCGUCAACAUUUCCUGAUACAACUACGGUCUCAUCUGGGAUCGUUAAUGACAACGAGCUACAAGGUGAUCAAUUUUUUUCCUACUAAAACAGCAAUUGCUUGCAUCUUAGUGGUAUGAUCUCUAAUUUUCGGGAAUGUGUGUAAUGGAUCCAGAUGUGAUUUUGAAUGACACACAAGAAACAAAG